UGGGAAUCUGCCCUUAGGUUCGGAAUAACAGUUAGAAAUGACUGCUAAUACCGGAUAAUGUCUUCGGACCAAAGAUUUAUCGCCAAAGGAUGAGCCCGCGUAAGAUUAGCUAGUUGGUGGGGUAAAAGCCUACCAAGGCGACAAUCUUUAGCUGGUCUGAGAGGAUGAUCAGCCACACUGGGACUGAGACACGGCCCAGACUCCUACGGGAGGCAG
rnacentral:rRNA from 1 species